AGCGAGCAGGCCCUGCCCCUCGCUGAACUCUGGAAGCCUGGAGACCUCCGGUGCUCCGGCGUCCGUGCGGCCCAGUUUUCUCCGCCGUGAUGACAUGCUAAACUGAUCUCCUUGAACUCCUGAUGUCCUGGACUUCAGCGGAUCCAGUCAAGACACAGACAUCAGAGACUAAUAAAUCCUGUGUUCCCACCCCUU